GGGCCCGCACAAGUAGUGGAGCAUGUGGUUUAAUUCGAUGCAACGCGAAGAACCUUACCAGGGUUUGACAUCCUGCGAAUCUCUUGGAAACAGGAGAGUGCCUUCGGGAACGCAGUGACAGGUGGUGCAUGGCUGUCGUCAGCUCGUGUCGUGAGAUGUUGGGUUAAGUCCCGCAACGAGCGCAACCCACGUCGUUAGUUGCCAGCAUUUAGUUGGGCACUCUAGCGAGACCGCCGGUGAUAAACCGGAGGAAGGUGUGGAUGACGUCAAGUCAUCAUGCCCCUUACAUCCUGGGCUACACACGUACUACAAUGCUACGGACAAAGGGCAGCAAACUCGCGAGAGCUAGCAAAUCCCAUAAACCGUGGCUCAGUUCAGAUCGUAGGCUGCAACUCGCCUACGUGAAGGAGGAAUCGCUAGUAA
rnacentral:rRNA from 1 species